rnacentral:rRNA from 1 species
AAUCAACGCUGGCGGCGUGCCUCAGACAUGCAAGUCGAACGAUUAAAGCUCCCUUCGGGAGUGCAUAAAGUGGCGCACGGGUGAGUAACACGUAAGUAAUCUACCUUCGAGUGGGGAAUAACGUUCGGAAACGAACGCUAAUACCGCAUAAUGCAGCGGCAUCUAUGAUGACAGUUGUUAAAGAUUUAUCGCUUGAAGAGGAGCUUGCGGCAGAUUAGCAGGUUGGUAAGGUAAUGGCUUACCAAGGCUACGAUCUGUAUCCGGUCUAAGAGGACGGUCGGACACACUGACACUGAAUAACGGGUCAGACUCCUACGGGAGGCAGCAGUCGGGAAUUUGGGCAAUGGGCGAAAGCCUGACCCAGCAACGCCGCGUGAAGGAUGAAGUUUUUCGGAAUGU